GACGGGUAGUGUGACGUUUGGGGUCAGAACGCACCACUUUCGGGCACCCCCACUUAAGAUUGCUCAACUGCUUUGAGCUCAGAAAGCAAGGUGUAAAGGUGGGGGAAAAGCACUUUCGUCUCAGAAUUACAGCUACUGGUAUGGAAAAGCUGGGGCCCUUCGCUGGUGUGAGUCCUAAGGAUGUCUAAAUGGAACGUGCAUCUGCUACAGGCUCGCACUUUCCUUUAUUGCGCUUCCCAGUUAUACUCCACUGUUCUGACCAGAAA
rnacentral:lncRNA from 10 species